rnacentral:rRNA from 1 species
UGGGGAAUAUUGGACAAUGGGCGAAAGCCUGAUCCAGCAAUUCCGCGUGUGUGAAGAAGGCCUUCGGGUUGUAAAGCACUUUAGUGGGGGAAGAAACAGCUUGGCCACACCAAGCCUUGACGGUACCCCAAGAAUAAGCACCGGCUAACUCUGUGCCAGCAGCCGCGGUACUACAGAGGGUGCAAGCGUUAAUCGGAUUUACUGGGCGUAAAGGGUGCGUAGGUGGUUUUUUAAGUCGGAUGUGAAAGCCUGGGGCUCAACCUCAGAAUUGCAUUCGAUACUGGGAAACUAGAGUUCGGUAGAGGGCGGCGGAAUUUCCGGUGUAGCGGUGAAAUGCGUAGAUAUCGGAAGGAACAUCAAUGGCGAAGGCAGCCGCCUGGGCCUGGACUGACACUGAGGCACGAAAGCGUGGGUAGCAAACA